UUCAUUUGUUUUACUCCAUUCAAAGUGCUGAGCCACGGGGUAAGUUUACAGAGCUGAUGUUUAUUUCCAUGUCUCCUCUAUUGUCACCACUUGCAUCACUCUCACUGAUAAUGGUGGAUCUAAAAGGAGGGUACUUGGAGAUCUCCUUAAGAGCACUACAGUCUGAACACUGGUUGGCGUCUUCCUGAAAUGGAAAAUAACUUGUCGGGUGCACUUAUCUAGAUAGGGACAUGUAUCAAGACCCAUUGCACAGACAGUUCAAUGUGAAUGUGACAUUUGCAUCUGCCUGUCUUUACCCAGAGUUCUUGUGUGCUGUUGAGGAGCCUCCAUAUCCUGAACAGGAGGUAGACUUCACAGAGCUGGGACUCCUUCCUCCCCCGCCACUGUACGCUGACACCUUCUGAUCACCAUAUUAACUGAAGCAGUCAAGAAAAGAAACCGUCAAUAAAAGAGCUGCUACAGUAUGUGACUGUAUCAUAUUUCUGAAUUCACCUUUUGUUUGUGUGUAAAGGUUCAUUAUCACAAUGUUUUCUUCACUUGUUUUCUUUUCUCUUAUGUUUCCACAAAUUGAAUUAUGGCACUUUAUUCAAAACAAGACAAUGAUGUAACAAAUCUAGAUGUUCACUUGUAGUUGCAAAUAUUUAAGGAUUUUUUUUUUAGUUUAUGUUCUUUGCAUUCAGAUGUUCUUUUGUUUAUAUCUAAUAAAUAUUUGUCAUUGA